AUGGAUCGGCCGGCGCCGGACCAGCGGCCCACGCUCUUCUCGCCGUACCAGAUGCGCCGCUUCAGCCUCGCCCACCGGGUGGUGCUGGCGCCGAUGACGAGGUGCAGGGCCAUCGGCGGGCUGCCGGGGCCGGCGCUGGCGGAGUACUACGCGCAGCGGGCCACCCAGGGAGGCCUGCUCAUCUCCGAGGGCACCGUCGUCUCGCCGGCCGGGCCGGGGUUUCCUCACGUCCCUGGAAUAUACAAUCAGGAGCAGAUAGAUGGAUGGAAAAAGGUGGUGGAUGCUGUUCAUGCUAAGGGAGGCAUCUUUUUCUGUCAAUUAUGGCACGUAGGCAGAGCUUCUCACCAAGUAUACCAGCCGGACGGUGCUGCUCCAAUAUCCUCAACUGAUAAGCCGAUAUCAGCAAGGUGGAAGAUAUUGCUGCCUGAUGGUUCAUACGGAACGUAUCCCACGCCAAGCCGCCUUGCGACAUCGGAAAUACCAGACAUAGUCGAGCAAUAUCGCCAAGCUGCCAUAAACGCCAUCAAAGCAGGUUUCGAUGGCAUCGAGAUCCACGGCGCUCAUGGCUACAUCAUCGAUCAGUUCCUCAAGGAUGGCAUCAACGACCGCACCGACGAGUAUGGCGGAUCGCUCACCAACCGUUGCAAGUUUCUACUCGAGGUGACCCGAGCCGUGGUAUCCGCCAUCAGAGCAGAGCGAACUGCGGUGAGGGUGUCACCGGCCAUCGACCACCUUGACGCCUAUGACUCGAACCCAAUGCAGCUAGGCAUGGCCGUCGUCGAACGGCUCAACGCUCUCCAGCAGGAAGCCGGGCAGCUCGCCUACCUCCACGUGACACAGCCAAGGUACGCGGCCUACGGGCAGACAGAGUCGGGCCCGCAUGGCAGCGCCGAGGAGGAGAGCCGGCUGAUGCGCACCCUGCGGGGCGCGUACCGUGGCACGUUCAUGUGCAGCGGCGGCUACACGCGGGAGCUCGGGCUGGAGGCGGUGGAGAGCGGCGACGCCGACCUGGUGUCGUUCGGGCGGCUGUUCAUUUCGAACCCGGACCUGGUCGAGCGGCUCAGGCUCAACGCCGGCCUCAACAAGUACGUGAGGAAGACGUUCUACACCCCUGACCCCGUCGUGGGCUACACCGACUACCCGUUCCUCGGCAAGCCUAAAUCGCGCAUGUAG
rnacentral:rRNA from 1 species